ensembl:lncRNA
UAUUACCUUAAAAUUAGCGAUAGGUAUUUCGGUUAUUUUGGGGCAAAGCAGGCAAAACACCUGGUCCUGCAAUUGUCUUAUGUUUGGCAUUUCCACAUGAUGUGUUUUUAUGUUGCAAAUAUUUAUUAGAGUGAACAUAUCUGUUAGUCAGGAUCGUUGCAAUAUAAUAUUACAUUACAGGUACUUCUAACACAUCUUACAAUGUAGUUAGUUAGGCCUGUUUGAACUAUAUCAAUUGUUACCUAAAGUGUUACAGUAUGUUAACCUAUACAAAUUGUUAAUUAUUUUGGUCAGUCUUGUCCAUCAGGUUUUUUUUUGUGUUUCUCCAGUGGUCUCUUCAGUGUCCUCCACUAUGACCAGAGUGGUCAAACCUGGGGAGACUGUCUGUAUGUCCUGUAACGUACCUAUGAAGACCUCGACAAUGUGGUUUGGACAAGAGUGCAACAAGACGCCCUUUGUCAUCAUAUCGGCCAAACAAUAUGACGUUAACGAAAAGAAAGUUCUAAAUAAAUUCCUCCAUGGCAACAACAGUGCAUUCAGCACAAUGUUAGAGGACAAUGGCUCCAUCAGUCUGACCAUCACAAAGAUGAAUGAGUCUUUGCUAGGAUUCUACUAUUGUACUUCAGGAAUCGACAAAGAACUUACAGUUGGAUCCGGUUACAUUCUUGAAUAUGAGAAGGGCAGUGUUUCACCUAAAAGAGAUGAUGAUGAUGGAAACAAUGAAUCAGACAGAAUAAAAACAGCCCAGGGACACAGCGACGAUGGUAUGGAACAGGAAGUGCAUUACACCUCCUUCUGUUUGUCAAAUGGAGAUCAUCGUGGCAAAAGAAAAAACACACAUCAUUAAUGUGAUCCUGUGUAUCUUUAUCAGAUAAUGUUACAUUUAGAACAUGCUGAAAUUAUGUUUUAAUGUGAAUACAGCUUCUAGUACAGAUAUCUACCUUGUGUACUGCAGUUGUACUAUGUUGUCCUAUUAAAUAUACAUGCCUUUUAUUGCUACAAUGUCCUUUAGCAUGUCUAGUUUUGUGUUCUAAUUGAAAAAAAACACCUUAACUGUGGCCUAUUAACUGCAUACAGUCACCUGCCCAAAUAAAGAUGAG